AUGCAGCCGGCUCCUCUCAAAUGAAUCAGCUUACCAGUCUUUGGUGGCGUCACGGGUGUGAUAACUAUCUACGCUUGUGGUUUCCCAUCAGGUAACCUUCAGCGAUGGAGGUUCACCGGGGCUUAUAAACAUCUCUCCUCAGUGAGGACAGAUUUUGACCGUUUGAUCUCAAAUCAGGUAGGACUACCCGCUGAACUUAA
rnacentral:misc_RNA from 1 species